GAGGGUACAGCUCAGUGGUAGAGCAUGUGCUUAACAUGCACGAGGUCCUGGGUUCAAUCCCCAGUACUUCCA
rnacentral:tRNA from 1 species